UGAAGGAAAUUAAAUUCUUCCAAGUCACAAUGAUCACAGCCAGGAAUCCACAAAUUUUCAGGAUUUUUGAUCUGCAGGAGGAAAUCUUGAUGGGAUGUUGAGUCAGGAUCUCGUAAUUCUUAUUUGAAAGGCCAUUAAAGUGGAAAUAUUUUCUCAGGAGGAAAUCUUGAUGGGGUGUUGAGUCAGGAUCUCAUAGUUCUUACUUGAAAGACCAUUAAAAUGGAAAUAUUUUCUGAAAUGCAGCACAGAUGGAGAUCUGAGCUGCAGGGGAAAUGCUGCAGGUGAAACUUCUCCUGAAAAACCCUCCCCAGUCCAGAGGUGAGUGAGUGAUGAGCCAAAAAAAGAGGAUUUCGAGACAACGUGACUCCAGCAGGCCAUGAGAACAAUGAGAAGUUCAAAAAUAGCACUAUUGACUGGUGGAAAAACAACAUACAUAUAAUUUUCAGGUUGGGAAUACAGCUGGGAAUUCUGCCACUGCAGGCCAGGAGUACAGCUGGGAAUUCCAUCAUUCCAGGCUGGGAAUUCUGCAGUCCCAGGACGCGGCGGGCGCUGUCAGUCGUGGCAGAGGUUUGAGGAGUGGCAGCGAGCAGAGCAGAGCCGGGGCAGAGGCAGGGCGGGGUGUGAACAACACCAGGGUGAGCACAGCCUGGAUGUCGGAGCAGGGAAACACCAGGGAACAGGGAAAUGAGGGAUGUGGCACGCUGCUGCCUCAUUAACAAUCCCAGAAACUCGUUUGCAUGUGAUUUCCAUGGUGCCACUGCCGGGGUGACGUUCCCCAAAUGCCCCAGGAUCGCUCCCUAAAUUCAGAUUUGAGCUCCCCUCCGGGGGUUUUCACAGCACGGGCAGCAAAGUUUCCUUCCUAAGCAGCAGCCCUGGUUUGGGCCCAGGCUGGGAGAGGAUGGAAACACAACAUGAUAGAAUUUGGUCUGGUAUUGCUCUUGGAUGUGGAUCUUGGGGAGAUGUUUGUGCCAGCCCACUCCACAUCGACUUCCUGCUCAGCACAAGGAGCCACAUGUUGUUAUAAAGUUAAAAAUGGGUUUAUUUUAUCAGAUAUGGGCUAUUCCAUUGUCUUCUCGUGCAGCCAAGUAAUUUUCACUGAAGUAUUCCUCUUUCUGUCCCUCAGAAAAGGGUAUUUCACACAUUUCAUGCCUGCAGCAACCUCAGCAAUAAAGGGAUUUUAAGGGCUUGGUUGUGUUUUCUAUCAAGAAAUAGUAACUGAGAGUCUCUCAUUAAAUCAGUUUUAUUCAGGCUCAGAAAUGCUCUUGUAUUACUUUUAAGCAAAGAGUAAAUUUGCAUUAUUGGGCAAAGAGGGAAUUCGUGGAUACUCAGACUAAUGAAAACAAUAUGGUCACAGAAAAAAAUGCAUAUCUUUAAAAAAUACUAUUGUGUCUGGACCUGGCUUUGAGCAUGUGAGUUAUGUGACACGAUACAUUUUUUUGGGAAGUUACAGAAGAGGAAAAUAAAAGAAAUGGGGGGGUAGGAGACAGAUUCUCAAGUCAUUUAUUUUACUGCGAUAGGGCCAAAAGGGGGAAAUGCAACUUUGGAAAACUGGGAAUUGAAAAUAUCAAAAUUUUGGAGGGUUGAGGGAAAUCUUGAUCUUUCAUUUUCUCUCCCCACAGAGGCUAAAAAUAAAAAAAAAUACUGUAGCUCUAGCUCAGAAGCAGAACAACUGGAGGAUUGUUUUGGGGCUGUUCUCCCCUACUCCAGUUGCAUCCCAGUAUUUUCUUCUGGAAAUGGAGAGAGAAUGAAAGAUUUAAUUUUCGGACAGAUCUGAGCGCUGCCAUCACUGCCACAGCUGGAGCCACUGAGAGCACCUCUGGAAAUGACUGCGUGUUGACAAAGGCUUUUUUUGGCAAUAAACCAUCAUCUGAGCCUCGGGAGCAGAGAGGAACAAAAUUUCACUACAUGUAAAUAAUAGCCUAAAAAUAGAACUGCAGAUUGUUUUUCUCAUUAAGUUCCUUCUCCAUCCUCCAGUAUGUUCUGCACUGAAAAGGGAGUGACUAUCAAAAAGCCCAAACUGAAAAAAAAAAUGAAGAGCCUGGGUGAGGUUUGGCUGUGAAAAACACUGGCAGGACCAUUUUAAACCUGAUUUUCUGUAUCGCCUUUUUUAGUUUGCUUCCUUAUUUUAAUGCAGCCGAAGCCAUUCUGGGGCUGUUUUAUUUAAAGCAAGUUUUGAGAGAGGACGCUGUGGUUUAUGGCCACGUGUCAAGUUUGAUAGUGUUGUGCCAUGAUUUAGCAAAACACUUGAAGCACAUGUCCACAUCCCACUGAAUUUGGUAGGAAGUGAAGAAGCAGAGGAAAAGCUGUUUGGCUGUGCAGCAGCCUCAUUCAGGGGGGAAAAAACCCAAAAGUAAUUGAAAUAAACCAAGGAUUUGUCUCCACACAAUUACAGAGCUUUGAGGCCAAAUUCUUUCAACUUGCAGUGAACUCAUUGAUCAUAUUAGAUCAGGAUUAUGGCACGUGUUUAAUAAUUUCAAACGAAAGGGUUCUGCACUGGGCUGCUCAGACCACUGAAAUAGACGGGCUAAUUAUGGGAGCCGUGGGCGUGCUGGAGUCAUCUGACUUUUAUUUUUUUUUAGCUAUCUCACCCUGCCCCCUCCCCAAACCAGCCUUUCAGACACCGAGAGAAAUCUUCAUCACACGCAGGAUUAGCGGAGUGCUGCUCAUUUUCCGAGAGCUUCGUUUGAACGUGGCAGAACUCCAGCAGAAGAGUGGCCAUCGAUGGAACGGGGAUGAGGGAUGAAGGAAGAGGGGUGGCAGCCUGGAGUUCCCCCCGUUUUCUGCCAGGCUGGAGAAGAUUUCUGGGUGAAAGGCUGGGAAAUGAAAAGUUUGGGAAGAGAUAUGAGUGCUGUGCUUUGCUCAGCGUAUCAGACUUCAUUAUAUCCUCACCAUAAACAGGAUGCCAUCAAAAAUCUGCUUAUUGAACACAUAUAAUUUAUGUACAUGUUCAUAUAUUUAUUUAUAUAUGUUCAGAUAAUUGAUAUAUGCUCCUUUUCUAGGUUAAGUUUAUGUGACCACCUUGUCCAUACAAUUUUGUCCUGGAUUGAUGGAAUGUGCCACAUCCUGAUACCAUUCCAUUGUCAUCCCUACUUACUAGGAGUUGUUUUUCUAGGACUUCAUAUAAAUAAUCGUACAAAUAAACAGCAUUGUAUCAAAAAGCUCCUUAACCACAUUUGACACCUCUCUCCCAUUCUUCCCCUAACACAAACUACCUAAUUUUAAAUCCUGGGUAACCCUCUGAGUCAAAUGUUUUAAAUUUAAAUUCUGUAACUGCCCUUCGUGGUUAUCUUACCCCAGGUUCCCUGCACGCCUUGUUUGAAUCUGCAGGGUUAAGACAUUAAAGUUUUAUUUUAUUUUCAG